rnacentral:rRNA from 1 species
UGCAGUCGAGCGGAUGACAGGAGCUUGCUCCUGAAUUCAGCGGCGGACGGGUGAGUAAUGCCUAGGAAUCUGCCUGGUAGUGGGGGACAACGUUUCGAAAGGAACGCUAAUACCGCAUACGUCCUACGGGAGAAAGCAGGGGACCUUCGGGCCUUGCGCUAUCAGAUGAGCCUAGGUCGGAUUAGCUAGUUGGUGAGGUAAUGGCUCACCAAGGCGACGAUCCGUAACUGGUCUGAGAGGAUGAUCAGUCACACUGGAACUGAGACACGGUCCAGACUCCUACGGGAGGCAGCAGUGGGGAAUAUUGGACAAUGGGCGAAAGCCUGAUCCAGCCAUGCCGCGUGUGUGAAGAAGGUCUUCGGAUUGUAAAGCACUUUAAGUUGGGAGGAAGGGCAUUAACCUAAUACGUUAGUGUUUUGACGUUACCGACAGAAUAAGCACCGGCUAACUCUGUGCCAGCAGCCGCGGUAAUACAGAGGGUGCAAGCGUUAAUCGGAAUUACUGGGCGUAAAGCGCGCGUAGGUGGUUUGUUAAGUUGGAUGUGAAAUCCCCGGGCUCAACCUGGGAACUGCAUUCAAAACUGACAAGCUAGAGUAUGGU